GACGAACGCUGGCGGCGUGCUUAACACAUGCAAGUCGAACGGAAAGGCCCUGCUUUUGUGGGGUGCUCGAGUGGCGAACGGGUGAGUAACACGUGAGUAACCUGCCCUUGACUUUGGGAUAACUUCAGGAAACUGGGGCUAAUACCGGAUAGGAGCUCCUGCUGCAUGGUGGGGGUUGGAAAGUUUCGGCGGUUGGGGAUGGACUCGCGGCUUAUCAGCUUGUUGGUGGGGUAGUGGCUUACCAAGGCUUUGACGGGUAGCCGGCCUGAGAGGGUGACCGGCCACCAUGGGACUGAGAUACGGCCCAGACUCGUACGGGAGGCAGCAGUGGGAAAUAUUGCACAAUGGGCGGAAGCCUGAUGCAGCAACGCCGCGUGCGGGAUGACGGCCUUCGGGUUGUAAACCGCUUUCGCCUGUGACGAAGCGGGAGUGACGGUAAUGGGUAAAGAAGCACCGGCUAACUACGUG
rnacentral:rRNA from 1 species